GGGUUGUGAGGUUAAGCGACUAAGCGUACACGGUGGAUGCCCUGGCAGUCAGAGGCGAUGAAGGACGUGCUAAUCUGCGAAAAGCGUCGGUAAGGUGAUAUGAACCGUUAUAGCCGGCGAUGUCCGAAUGGGGAAACCCAGUGCAAUUCGUUGCACUAUCGUUAACUGAAUACAUAGGUUAACGAGGCGAACCGGGGGAACUGAAACAUCUAAGUACCCCGAGGAAAAGAAAUCAACCGAGAUUCCCCCAGUAGCGGCGAGCGAACGGGGAGCAGCCCAGAGUCUGAAUCAGCUUGUGUGUUAGUGGAACGGUCUGGAAAGUCCGACGGUACAGGGUGAUAGUCCCGUACACCAAAAUGCACAGGCUGUGAACUCGAAGAGUAGGGCGGGACACGUGGUAUCCUGUCUGAAUAUGGGGGGACCAUCCUCCAAGGCUAAAUACUCCUGACUGACCGAUAGUGAACCAGUACCGUGAGGGAAAGGCGAAAAGAACCCCGGCGAGGGGAGUGAAAAAGAACCUGAAACCGUGUACGUACAAGCAGUGGGAGCACCUUCGGGUGUGACUGCGUACCUUUUGUAUAAUGGGUCAGCGACUUAUAUUCUGUAGCAAGGUUAACCGUAUAGGGGAGCCGCAGGGAAACCGAGUCUUAACUGGGCGUUAAGUUGCAGGGUAUAGACCCGAAACCCGGUGAUCUAGCCAUGGGCAGGUUGAAGGUUGGGUAACACUAACUGGAGGACCGAACCGACUAAUGUUGAAAAAUUAGCGGAUGACUUGUGGCUGGGGGUGAAAGGCCAAUCAAACCGGGAGAUAGCUGGUUCUCCCCGAAAGCUAUUUAGGUAGCGCCUCGUGAAUUCAUCUUCGGGGGUAGAGCACUGUUUCGGCUAGGGGGUCAUCCCGACUUACCAACCCGAUGCAAACUACGAAUACCGAAGAAUGUUAUCACGGGAGACACACGGCGGGUGCUAACGUCCGUCGUGAAGAGGGAAACAACCCAGACCGCCAGCUAAGGUCCCAAAGUCAUGGUUAAGUGGGAAACGAUGUGGGAAGGCACAGACAGCCAGGAUGUUGGCUUAGAAGCAGCCAUCAUUUAAAGAAAGCGUAAUAGCUCACUGGUCGAGUCGGCCUGCGCGGAAGAUGUAACGGGGCUAAACCAUGCACCGAAGCUGCGGCAGCGACACUAUGUGUUGUUGGGUAGGGGAGCGUUCUGUAAGCCUGCGAAGGUGUGCUGUGAGGCAUGCUGGAGGUAUCAGAAGUGCGAAUGCUGACAUAAGUAACGAUAAAGCGGGUGAAAAGCCCGCUCGCCGGAAGACCAAGGGUUCCUGUCCAACGUUAAUCGGGGCAGGGUGAGUCGACCCCUAAGGCGAGGCCGAAAGGCGUAGUCGAUGGGAAACAGGUUAAUAUUCCUGUACUUGGUGUUACUGCGAAGGGGGGACGGAGAAGGCUAUGUUAGCCGGGCGACGGUUGUCCCGGUUUAAGCAUGUAGGCUGGUUGUCCAGGCAAAUCCGGAUAAUCAAGGCUGAGGUGUGAUGACGAGGCACUACGGUGCUGAAGUAACAAAUGCCCUGCUUCCAGGAAAAGCCUCUAAGCAUCAGGUAACAUCAAAUCGUACCCCAAACCGACACAGGUGGUCAGGUAGAGAAUACCAAGGCGCUUGAGAGAACUCGGGUGAAGGAACUAGGCAAAAUGGUGCCGUAACUUCGGGAGAAGGCACGCUGGUGUGUAGGUGAAGCCCCUGCGGGUGGAGCUGAGACCAGUCGAAGAUACCAGCUGGCUGCAACUGUUUAUUAAAAACACAGCACUGUGCAAACACGAAAGUGGACGUAUACGGUGUGACGCCUGCCCGGUGCCGGAAGGUUAAUUGAUGGGGUUAUCCGUAAGGAGAAGCUCUUGAUCGAAGCCCCGGUAAACGGCGGCCGUAACUAUAACGGUCCUAAGGUAGCGAAAUUCCUUGUCGGGUAAGUUCCGACCUGCACGAAUGGCGUAAUGAUGGCCAGGCUGUCUCCACCCGAGACUCAGUGAAAUUGAACUCGCUGUGAAGAUGCAGUGUACCCGCGGCAAGACGGAAAGACCCCGUGAACCUUUACUAUAGCUUGACACUGAACAUUGAGCCUUGAUGUGUAGGAUAGGUGGGAGGCUUUGAAGCGUGGACGCCAGUCUGCGUGGAGCCAACCUUGAAAUACCACCCUUUAAUGUUUGAUGUUCUAACGUUGGCCCCUGACCGGGGUUGCGGACAGUGUCUGGUGGGUAGUUUGACUGGGGCGGUCUCCUCCCAAAGCGUAACGGAGGAGCACGAAGGUUAGCUAAUCCUGGUCGGACAUCAGGAGGUUAGUGCAAUGGCAUAAGCUAGCUUGACUGCGAGCGUGACGGCGCGAGCAGGUGCGAAAGCAGGUCAUAGUGAUCCGGUGGUUCUGAAUGGAAGGGCCAUCGCUCAACGGAUAAAAGGUACUCCGGGGAUAACAGGCUGAUACCGCCCAAGAGUUCAUAUCGACGGCGGUGUUUGGCACCUCGAUGUCGGCUCAUCACAUCCUGGGGCUGAAGUAGGUCCCAAGGGUAUGGCUGUUCGCCAUUUAAAGUGGUACGCGAGCUGGGUUUAGAACGUCGUGAGACAGUUCGGUCCCUAUCUGCCGUGGGCGCUGGAGAAUUGAGGGGGGCUGCUCCUAGUACGAGAGGACCGGAGUGGACGCAUCACUGGUGUUCGGGUUGUCAUGCCAAUGGCACUGCCCGGUAGCUAAAUGCGGAAGAGAUAAGUGCUGAAAGCAUCUAAGCACGAAACUUGCCCCGAGAUGAGUUCUCCCUGAGACUUUAAGUCUCCUGAAGGAACGUUGAAGACGACGACGUUGAUAGGCCGGGUGUGUAAGCGCAGCGAUGCGUUGAGCUAACCGGUACUAAUGAACCGUGAGGCUUAACCUUACAACGCCGAAG
rnacentral:rRNA from 1 species